GAGCGAGGCGGGCGCCGCCGCGAUGCUGCGAGGCGGACGGCGCGGGCAGCUUGGCUGGCACAGCUGGGCUGCGGGGCCGGGCAGCCUGCUGGCUUGGCUGAUACUGGCAUCUGCGGGCGCCGCACCCUGCCCCGAUGCCUGCUGCCCCCACGGCUCCUCGGGACUGCGAUGCACCCGGGAUGGGGCCCUGGAUAGCCUCCACCACCUGCCCGGCGCAGAGAACCUGACUGAGCUCUACAUCGAGAACCAGCAGCAUCUGCAGCAUCUGGAGCUCCGUGAUCUGAGGGGCCUGGGGGAGCUGAGAAACCUCACCAUCGUGAAGAGUGGUCUCCGUUUCGUGGCGCCAGAUGCCUUCCAUUUCACUCCUCGGCUCAGUCGCCUGUGAGUGUGGCCAGUGCUGGGCAGUGGGAGUUGGGGAGGACACCCAGACUUGGGCUGCUAAUGGGCUUGGCUGUCCCCGGGGAAUGAUUGCGAGGAGGGCCCAAGCCUGGUCAGGGAAGUCACCUCACCAUUCUCCUGGGGCUUCCUCCCAUCUCCCUCAGGGAUGGCAUGCUCUCGCCCCUGACAGCUAGAGGUCCUCCUUGCCAUCUCACUUCCAUGGUCCAUGCUGCAAGGACACUUCUCAUAGGUGCCUGCCCUAUCUUU
rnacentral:sRNA from 1 species